ensembl:lncRNA
AGAGGGAUGUGGGCUGGGAUCUUCAAACAUUUGACUCCAAAGAAAACAGUACACACUCUCUGGCCCUUUGUCCUUGACUCUCAUUAUUUGCAUUCCACUUUCCUAUGGGUAGAAGGUGCUGCAGGUGCAACAGAGACAUUUACCUUUCCAUUAGAGGUCAUUAUUCAUGGUUAUUACCCUAUGUUUAACUGGGGGAAUUGGGUAUAUCAUUGUCUCAUUUAAUCUUUCUCUGACCCAGUAAUUAUAAUCCUCAAUAUUUCAAAGAGGACAAGUAACUUUCUUGGAGACACCAAGAAAAGUCAGGUCCUCUAGAGAGCCUGCUGAACCCAUACUCUGUUUUUACCUCAGGGAAAAUUUUGUUCAUUAAGAUUUUUGAUAACCAUUAUUGCCACUAUUCACCUUCUCUCAUUGGAACACACAUGGAGGUUGAAAGCAAAGGGACAAAAGGCACACAGGUAUUGACACAAAGCUGGAGGAAUAGCUGUCUGAUAGUGCUGAGUUAACUACUGUUUGUCUCCACUUUGAACAUGAGUUUAUCUAUUUUAUGUUACAUAAUAAACACAUUUAUAUUUUGCUAGCAAAGAUAGUCUUAGAUAAGAAUGAGACAAUUAAAUCAGUAUCUCAUGUUCUUUCUAAGAAUCAUGGUUCAGGACGAGACACAAGUUUGUGAAACCUAAGGUUUUCUAGAUGAGAAGAGUGUAUUACAAGAAAUAAGAAUGUUAAUUCUUGGCUUAUUUAAAGAAGGCUCCUAAAAGGUAUCUGAUUUUUUCAUUGAGGUCUGCAGGGAUUUGGUAUAGCAAAAAGAAAAACAAAGUGCCUGCCAGGUAGAUAGAUGUGACUGUCUAAAUUGUCACAUGCAAUGGCAAGUGUGUUAGGUGUGGAUAGUACUGCUGGUAGGGUUGUAGAGUCCCUUUUGUCAAGUGACUUAAUGAUAAAACUGGAAGAACAGAGUGGAGGGAAAUGAUUGGCAUCUGGAAUAUCAAGGUGGGGGAUUGGGCAUGAGUUAAUUCCCAGUAGAGAGUUUGUCUUUUGCUAGAGUGUAUUAUAGUAAAACCAUGCUUCAAGGAAAAAAAUGGCCAGCAGGAUAGAUUGUUGUGAAUGGCUAGGUGUGAGCUACUAAGAUGAUGAGAGGCACAAAUGCAGAGAAUUGGAGGCCACAAAGGAAAAUGAAACAGAAGAAAGCAACAAGACUUGAAAACUGCUCUGAUGUGGGCAGGACACUUCUCAAGAAGAUAGAGACUUGGAAUAUGUCUUUGGGGAAUUAUUUAUUGUAAUGCUAAAGCAUAGAACUCAAUACAUGGGCACAUGAAGGGCAAGGAUGGGAAGAAAUACAAAGUCACUGAAACUGCCUGAGUUCUACUGUUUAGUUUCCUUUCAUUUGUUUUUGUUAUUGUUGUUUGUUUGUUUGUUUGGUUGUUUCCUAUAUUACUGUCAUGUUAAACCAAACUUUAAGUCUUUCAGCAAUACCAUAGAAUUCCUUGCCUUGUCUUCUCAUUGUUCACAAUUUGUCACUGUAAUCACUCUUUGAAUGACAUUUGUUCUUUGUAAUAGUUGUAGCAUGUCUGUUCCCAUCACCUACAGCAGGCUUAGGCUGCUGAGAGUGGUGGUUUGGUUUUCCUGUGUGUACCAGAUUAAAUUUUCCCCACCAUAUCACCAGUCAGGUAAAAUAGUAAUGCCUCCCACAAGAACAGGAGGCAGGCAGAAGGGCCAGCACCUUAACAGAAGCAUAAACUUAACCAUUGCAUGAGAAAAGUACUGCUAACUGGAUUAACAGUAUGGUAGAUACCAGACUCCAGCCUGACAAGACCUUUAUUAUAUGUUUCAUAAUGACCAAUUCAUUAAGCUAGUUAAGGAAGUCUUACUUUUUAAUUUUUUUACAUAUUUUGUACAAUCCAUUUUGUUCAAUAUGUACCAGUGGUUUGGUUUCUACUGUAGAGUAAUUGGUUCUUGUUCCUUUCAUUGGGUUGAAGUAGUGACCAAAUACUUCCUCAUUGAUUUGGGAACUAGAGGAGAAAAUUUUAUUCUGCUUUUUAACCUUUAUUUCAGAAUUAUAUAGAUGUUCAUGAGAAGGAGGAACACAUGGGUCAUUGGCUUGGCCUGGUGGGAGGGUGAAUUAAAAUAUCAUAAAUGACACUUAGUAGAUGGGCUUAUCAGGAGUUACUGCUGGGCCAAAAUAAUAUCUAAACCUCCAAGCAGAAAGCUGAAAGACUCAUUUGGUUUUCUGACUUCCAAAGAAGUGCAACCCAUGGCUAAGAACCUUGAAUUAGGCACAAAAUGAAUUAUUGAGAUGUGAUUGGCCUGGUGGCCACCGCCAUCAUUACCAUUUCCAUCAACCAUGUUUCCAAUAGCAAUUUUAAAAUUUAAGUUUCUUUAUUUUAAUUAAUUAAUUCCUCUCACAUAUUAUGUCUCAACCACAGUUUCCUUUGUCCUCUUCUCUCAGUCCCCAACAUCACCUCUCCCCUCCCUCAGAUCCACUCCUCCUUCAAACCACAGAGUCUAUCUAAGGCACAAUGCUAAAGGGGGUAAUGAAGUUAAUUUUGUUUCAGAGAAGACAUAUUGGCACAGGAAAGAUGAAGGAUCUUCAGCCUGCAGGUCAGCAAUUGCAACAAAACAUUCCUGGGAGGCAAUAAAGUUCCAGUCUCAGGGUCAGACACUGAAGUAUUGGUUGUAGCUCAUUUAAGAGAUCUAUGAAGAACCAUUUUCAAAUUAGUCCUUUAGAAAAAGAACCUACUGGAUACAAAUUAUAUGGGGGUGAAAGCAUGGAGCCUGAUAUUGAGUUCAGAGUCCCUGUUCUUCCUGAACCCAGACUAGAUAUCCAGCCGUUUUACACUAUGAAACACCAUGGUUUACAAGAACAUAUCACGUCCUGAAGUUUAUUUGCUAUUAAUUAAAGAAUUGAUCUCCAUUUAAAACACCAGUUUUUAACCUUUCUAAUUUUAUUUUCUCAUACUGUUUGAUAAAGAAAUAAAUGGGUUUAAAGAGGCCCAAAGCAGGCAUGCUAAAUUUUUCUUAAGCAGAAACAAUAAAGAGAGAAUUAAAUGUUUAGGAGUAAUGUCACUGAACACAUCAGCAUGUGAACGAGUUUGUAACAUCAGCAUCCAUCACAGUAAUUUGCUUUAGUUUCUACUAACCCUUUUCAAAUAGCAUUAUAGAAUGCCACUUAUAGAAUGCAUUAUUUAAUGAAUGAUAGACACAUUAAUAGCUGUGUCCCCACCUAUGUCUAUAGGAAAGAAAUUGCUGGGGCCUCUCUUUGUC